ACAAAGAAGUAAAAUUUACAUUUAGUUUCGACCUAAAAAUAGGAAGAAUUCCUCCCGUGUU
rnacentral:tRNA from 1 species